rnacentral:rRNA from 1 species
GAUGAACGCUAGCGGGAGGCCUACUACAUGCAAGCCGAGCGGUAUUGUUUCUUCGGAAAUGAGAGAGCGGCGUACGGGUGCGGAACACGUGUGCAACCUACCUUUAUCUGGAGGAUAGCCUUUCAAAAGGAAAAUUAAUACUCCAUAAUAUAUUGAAUGGCAUCAUUUGGUAUUGAAAGCUCCGGCGGAUAGAGAUGGGCACGCGCAAAAUUAGCUAGUUGGUGAGGUAACGGCUCACCAAGGCGAUGAUCUUUAGGGGGCCUGAGAGGGUGAUCCCCCACACUGGUACUGAGACACGGACCAAACUCCUACGGGAGGCAGCAGUGAGGAAUAUUGGACAAUGGGUGCAAGCCUGAUCCAGCCAUCCCGCGUGAAGGACGACGGCCCUAUGGGUUGUAAACUUCUUUUGUAUAGGGAUAAACCUACCCUCGUGAGGGUAGCUGAAGGUACUAUACAAAUAAGCACCGGCUAACUCCGUG